AUGCAUUUGUAGGGUGAGUGACUGAGUGUCACUACAAGAAACUUAUUAAUCCGUGACGGAUUCUCGGUGACAGAUUUACAAACCAUCACUAACAGAUGAAAUCUGUGACGAUAAUUUUUUUUCGUCAUGGAUAUGCAUCAAUGGAUAUUUUAGGCCCACUAACUUGUGACGGUUUUAUUCGGACCAUCACAAUAUCUGAUUUUGAAUUCAUCAUACUCUAGUUAGCCCAAAGCUAUAAGCCCGCUAUCAUAUAUUAAGUCAACCCAAAAGAUGUUUUGUUAAAUUAUUUGAACUAAAUAGUUUUAUUAUUUUGCAUGUAUAUGGUGAAUAUGGUAAAACUAAAAAUAUUAUGCAUAUGUGUAUGGUGCGGAUGGGAAAAAAUGCUUGGUAACAAAAAAAAUCUGGUUGUGGCCAUCUAUCAAGUAGGCACAAAUGUUUAAAUGGUAAAUAAAUAAAAAAAGGUGGAUUUACCAUCAAUGGGACCCAGCACAUAUUGGAUGAAAACAACAGGAAUUACCAGUGCACUAAUUAUUCAGUUCUGUAUGAGUAGGAUUAUUUGUACCUUUUGUUCUAUAUAAGUACAAGUAAUUAAGUUUUUCUCAACCGCUGAUAGCUGAGAAUUCAUUCACGAACUCAAACACUUCAACACCGUUUUAAAAAUCAUGAAACUUGUAUGGACGAUAGUGUUUGGUUGAUUGGUUCCAGAUGCAUUUAGAAAGAAGAAUAGAUGGAAUCGGAGGUCGUAUGAGUGAGAUAUUAAUUUUACAAGGUAAUUGUUUAAUUAUUUUCCGAAAACUAAAAGAACACGCUUAAGGGGAGUGUCCACGUGAAGUUCAGAUUGACGUGACCUUUGUGGUCGCCAAACAGCAGCAGGAUUCCCGCCCCCGCACCCGCACCCGCACAUGGGCCCCGGCCCAAUGGCCAUCACCCAUCAGCAGUUUCUGUAGCUCACUUUGCACAAAAAAAAAAGUUCUGUACCUCACUAUAAUGUCCAAAAAAAAAAUGAUGGAAUGAGCUCUCGGACUCAAUAACAGAGGUUUCUAAAGUUCUAGGCGAACCACCAAACCGUUUCUAAAGUUCUAGAUGAACCACCCAACAAUACUUACAUAAUUCACACGAAAAAUAUAGAAAAAAGUACACCUUUGAGCGCUAUGGGGUGGUGUCUACUUUACCCCAAACUAUAAAACAGUUCAAUUUAUACCCUAAACUAUUCAAAAACCGUUCAAAUCACCCCCCGGACGGUUUUUGACGGUGGUUUUGCUACAAUGACCAUCGUUUUGCUACAGUAACCAUGGUUUUGACUUUUUCUUUUUCCUAUUUGUUUUCAUAUAAUCUUUGAAAAAUCAUAUUAAAUCACAGAAAAGUCAUAAAAUAGAAAAUCUAAUUUUGUUGGACUCCGCAUGAGUAAAUCUACGCAAUGAAUAUAUAAUAUGGUAUACUUUAGUAUAAUUUUUUUGUAGCUUUAAAUUAGUUAGAAAAUUCAAAAUUUAUCUAUAAUUAAUUGGAAUAUUUCAUAGCUCUAGCUUCUAUGGUCAAAUUGUGGUGAAAUUUUUAUGGUGGACAAAUUAUUCUAUGCUUGAACUAUAAUAAAUAUUUCAUACUUAUCGGAUCAUGUAUAACUUAGUUAUAGAUUUAUUUAUAUUUAACAAACAUAAACCUGAAUAAAUCUAUAACUAAGUUAUAUAUGAUCAAAUGAGUACGAAAUUUGUACUAAACUAUACCAUAUUAUGUAUUCAUUGUGUAGACCUGCUCAUGUGGAGUCCAAUAAAAUUAGAUUUUCUAUUUUAUGAUUUUUCAAAGAUUUAGACAAAACAAGUAGAAAAAGAAAAGUCAAAACCACUAAUGUUACUGUAGCAAAAUCAUAGUUACUGUAGCAAAACCGCCAUAAAAAACAACGCAGGGGGUGAUUUGAAUGGUUUUGGAUAGUUCUGGGGAUAAAUUAGACCAUUUCAUAUUUCGGGGUUAAAGUAGACACCACCCUAUAGUUCAGGGGUGAUGUAGACUUUUUCCAAAAAUAUAUAUUAACCAAGUCACAACCGUUAGCUUGCCGGAGCUCCGGCUAAACUACGGCCAGUGGCGGACCCAACACUAGGGCCACUAGGGCUAUGGCCCUAGUCUUAGCCCUUAAUUGCAGUGGACAAAUCAUAUUUUUUCUAUAGCUAAGCACAGUUAGCACUCAUGUUUAAUGCAAUGGCCCU
rnacentral:lncRNA from 1 species